AGAAUGAACGUUGGCGGCGUGGAUUAGGCAUGCAAGUCGAGCGAGAACCGUAGCAAUACGGGGACAGCGGCGAAAGGGAGAGGAAUACGUGGAUACCUACCCUCUGGUUCAGGAUAGCUGUGGGAAACUACAGGUAAUACUGAAUAACAUCUCCGGAUCAAAGGUGUGAUUCCGCCGGAGGAGGGGUCCGCGUCCUAUUAGCUAGUUGGUGAGGUAACGGCUCACCAAGGCGAAGAUGGGUAUGGGAUGUGAGAGCAUGAUCCCACUCACUGGGACUGAGACACUGCCCAGACACCUACGGGUGGCUGCAGUCGAGAAUCUUCGGCAAUGGGGGCAACCCUGACCGAGCGACGCCGCGUGCGGGAUGAAGGCCUUCGGGUUGUAAACCGCUGUCAGUGGGGAGGAAAUGCUGGUGGGUUCUCCCAUCAGUUUGACCUAUCCGCAGAGGAAGGACGGGCUAAGUUCGUGCCAGCAGCCGCGGUAAGACGAACCGUCCAAACGUUAUUCGGAAUUACUGGGCUUAAAGGGUGCGUAGGCGGUCCGGGAAGUUGGGUGUGAAAGCCCUCAGCUCAACUGAGGAACUGCGUCCAAAACUGCCGGACUUGAGGGAGACAUAGGUGAGCGGAACUUAGGGUGGAGCGGUGAAAUGCGUUGAGAUCCUAAGGAACACCAGUAGCGAAAGCGGCUCACUGGGUCUCUUCUGACGCUGAUGCACGAAAGCUAGGGGAGCGAAGAGGAUUAGAUACCCUCGUAGUCCUAGCUGUAAACGAUGAGCACUGGUUUGGAGGGUCCUCCAUAGCCUUCCAGACGUAGCGAAAGUGUUAAGUGCUCCGCCUGGGGAGUAUGGUCGCAGGCUGAA
rnacentral:rRNA from 1 species